GAUCUUUACAGACAAGUAGAUGGAAAUUGUGGAGAUGGUGGAUUUCUUGCCUCGUUGCUCGGAGUAGGAUGUGAGUGUGAGGGAUAUGGUGUGCGAAUAGUAGGACAUUCCCUUGGAGGAGCGAUUGCUGCAGUAUUGGGAAUGAAGCUACGCAAACGGUACCCAGAUUUACAUGUAUACACAUAUGGUGCUCUCCCAUGUGUGGGUCUGGUGGUAGCAGAUGCUUGUUCUGAAUUCAUUACCAGCAUUGUAAACAAUGAUGAAUUUUCAGCGCGCCUUUCAGUAGCAUCAAUUAUGAGACUUCAAGCAGCUGCACUUAAGGCAUUGUCAGAAGAUGGCACUAUUGA
rnacentral:misc_RNA from 1 species